CAAAUGAUGAGUUUGUUAGUGAGCAAAGCCUGACUGUUCCUGAUUAGUCGAAAGUGACUGACUG
rnacentral:snoRNA from 1 species